CAGGGACCCCCAGGGACUCAGAGGACGAAGAGGAGGAAUGGGUAGACGUGGCCACAGAGGAGGCUGCUCUCAAUAACAUCCAAGAGCAGCUCCAGGGCUGAGAAAAGUACCUUGACACCUGCCUUGGAGCCAGAUCUGGAGACCCACAACCUUCGAGCUGCCCUGCAUGCCAUCUUCACCCUGGGCACAGAGAAGGACACCACCCAAGUCCAGGACCUGCAUAGGGUCUUACCAGACCUCCUGGACGCCAUGCUGGGGAACCUGCUGGCAGAGUCCCCAGACACCGACCAGCUCCACUACAUCUUGGAGCACAUUAACUACCGGAUCAUGUCCAGGGUGUCGCAAGAGAGAGGCAGGGCCAUUAGGAGCAGCACUGCCCUGCUAGAUUCACCAUCACCCUCCCUGAGUUUGACAACUCGGCAGAAUUCCCCAGGAUGGGUCACUGUGUGGCACAGCUGGCUCUGUCCAUCGGUGACCCAGCCAAGGACAUCAGCCGGCAGGCCAGGGAGUGUGUUUACCAGCUCUACCAGCUGCUGCUGCACC